CGUGGCCACAGGAAGUGACCUCAUAAGCAUGCCCUUCAAGCCACACAGGAUGGGUCCUUGUGCGACAUUCAGCCGUCUCUCUGGUUUACACCAAAUUCAACAACUUGUGGCCUGCAGAUACUCAGUAUAAAUAGCUGGAAAAGCCUGACCUUGACAACCUCAUUUCUCAUUCCUUUCUUGUUACAGGUCACAUGGAAUGCCAUGGUUCUAGAAUGACAUGGUCUUGUCUACCUCAGAAAUAAUGAAGGUUCUGCAGAGACCUACUGGUGGUAACGGCAUCUUUACUGACUUGGGCUUCAGGAAAGCAGGCUCCUGUUUGGACAUCCAGCCCUUGUCUGAUCUGUUACUGCACAUGCCGAGACUCCACAGACUGUCGAUGUGAGCCCUGGGAGCCCGAGAAACCACUUGCAGAUGAAUGAACUGAAAAGAACCUUACCUGCUUAAAGAAAUGGGAUGUGGCUCGCUUAAAGUUAUUCCAUUUGACAUCUCCAGGCAUAGACCUUCUGGAGUGCUGAAGCUUUGUCUUUAGGGCUUACUCCUGGACUGCAUCCUCCAGCUUUCUCUCUCAACUUCUUCACUCUUCAGUCUCUCAGCCCAGCUCCCUAUGUGGGCCGUUCUUGUUCUUGGAUGCUUGGAUCGCUCUUUAUCUCCUCGCCAUCUGUGUAAGGGGAUCCUGCCAAGAUGAUCAGAUGUGAACUCAGCGCCAGAAACAUUUUAAUUAAUUUAUGGUGAUAAAAUGCGAAAAGAAAACCAAUGAGGAAAGUCUGGGCCAAAGAAAAUUAAACAUAAGAGGAAACAAAGAAACUGGAGCCAUGCGGCCUUGGAAGGAAGGGCCUGGUUGGCAGAGGAGCCAGCAAACACUCUCUCUUGCCCUCUUCACUUUUUUAAUAACGCCCAAGUGGAAAAGCCACAGAGGACCCAGAAACUGGAGGGAGGGGAGGGAGAAAACUGAGUAGUUUGCUAUUUGUCUUGACUUCUGGAUUAGGUCAGCUGAAUGUGGGUGUGGAGAAGACAGACAGCAAGGCUGUAGGAUUGCAGACCCCUGUUAUAAUAGGGGUAGCCGGUGUUUCUCAGAGUCACAGACUAUUGGAAGAACUGGAAUAGGAACACCUUGGACUUCUUCAGACCAGUAUUCUCAGAAUGUGUUCCAUGGACCAUCUGCAUUAGCCUCAUCAAUGCUGGGGGAUUUUUAGCUCAGACAAGCCCCAGAAGAGAUGGAAAGAGCCUGCUAAGUGGAGUUGUAAAUCUUGAACACUUGCAUUUUCAUACAAAAGCAAGCAGAAAGGAGUAAGAACUUGGAAGGUCAUCUCACAGAGGAAAAAAAAUUUAAGGGAGGAGCUGAAGCUUACUACUCAAGAGGGAGGAACUCAGUUUACAUUCUCCAUAAAUAGAACAUGUUUGUCACCUGGAACAAAGAGCAGCAGUUUCUACAGGGUAAGAGGCAAGUGCUUAGACCAGACACCUCCUCCUGGCCCUUCCUCAAACUCUCACUCCAUGGAAAAAACCUGUUCCUUCCUUACCCUCUUAUGGAAGCUACUAUCCUUACCCUUUGGGUGAAUGUCCCGAAAUGGAUAACAUUCCUGCAGCUCAGAAGUGUCCACAGCACAGCAGCCCAAGAAGGGAUAGAUUGGUGCAAGAGAUACUACUUUUAAAGAUCGUGCGGGAGGAAGAACGCACAUUUGUAAAGACUGACUUCGAGGCCAUUCUUGCCCCUCUCGCUGGUCUGGAGUUCACGCCGGUGUUAACGGCCUUAUCAAACAAUUCCUAUCAUGAGCUCCUCUAUUCUUCCAUUUUUAUCACCCCACCCAAAAGGGGAGGGUGCCUAGAGGGGCAGAAUUAAAUCCGAAGGGUGAUAAACCAGCAGAUUCAAAGUUUAGGCUGGGCCGAGGGGUUUUAGUUCCAGCUGUGCCUCAGUAGGACAGACUUCACCAGGGUCUAUCCUAUUAAGAGCCCCCAGCAUCGUAAUCCUGGGGCUGCCACUAUUGUCCUUAUUGGGUUCCUGAAUAUCCUUUCACACAAUGAGAGCUUGAAAACCUCAUUGAUUUUCAGAAGGGAGGAAGAUUUUUAGAAUGAUUUUCAGGAUGGAAAUCAAUGGGUUACAGCGCACUUGUAUGUGCUUUAGGUGUUCUUUCUCUACCAUUUAUUUCUACCUGACGCUUUCAAGACUUGAGCGUGACUUUGGAGAGAAAGAAAGAGUCAUAUGAUUAUAUGUAGCUGUAAUUGAACGGCAUUUAUUUUGUCAGAGUUCACAUUGCAUCAUGUACGUUUGGUUUGCUAUCUUUAGGGAAGGUUUCAUUUGCCAUCUCCUAUCUGAAUUUUAUUUGGAAUUCCCAUUGGGACAUACAUGGAAAUUAUCAGUUUCUCUUUGCCUAGUGUUGAAAAGGGUAUCAGCUUAAAGUACCUGUGUAGACUCACAGAUGGAAUGUAACAAGUUUAUGAAAACUGGCCAAGGACCAGAACUGACUUUGUAUCUCUGUAGAAAAGAGCAUAAUACAGUGAUCAUCACAGGCUGUCAGAACUUUCCUUGGCAGCCUGGAUAGCAUGGGUUGGCUUGCUGUGGAAGACAGAAACAAAUACUAAAUAUGUUAUUACAGAUCAUAGCCAUGAAAUACAUAUGGGCAAGACUAGAGAAUGAGAAUCUAAAAGGCAAAACAAAACAACAAAAGUCAGAACUUGCAUCAUCAAGUGAGUUUUGUUUUAAAGUAUCACCUUAAGAGACUAUGCGUUUAUACUAAUGAUGCUACUAUUAAAGAGAACAUUCUUAGAAAUGCUUAUUUGAAAUUACUAUAAUAACCUGAAGGUAAUUGAGCAUGCAAGAAACCUGUGACUGCUUUAGGCUGGCACUUUGUUUUUGCUCACCCUAAUUCGGUUCUACACCUUGACCAUUCAUUUACCUGAUUCAUAAGACUUGAUAGCGAAUGAAUUCUUUAGAUAUCUAACUCUAAAAAGAAACAUUUUUUUUCCCACAAUGUGAUGAUUCAUGAAAAAGAGACUAUAUCUUUUGAAGGUAAAUCCAGAAGAGAAUACGGGAAAAUGUUUUGAGCAAGUAAAGUACCAUAUUCUUUAUGCUCUUAAAGAGCAAGUUCUUUGUUGCUCAUACUUUUUUAAUGAAAGAAAAAGCACAUAGUGAAUCAAAGGGGAGAAUUGAAGUAAGAACUUUCAGCAGCUGCUGACUUUCUCCUUAGGGCCUUGUAGU